CUUGGCAGGAUAGAGAUAGGGUGAAGAACCCUAGUGAGGGUUCAGCCGAGCGGAGCGAGACCACGUUGUCUUUAGACAACGCCCGAAGGGGCGCGAGCCUGCGAGCGAUAAAUCCCUAUCUCUCCGCCA
rfam:Photobacterium halotolerans strain S2753 contig0012, whole genome shotgun sequence.